GUCGAACGGUAGAGGGGGCAACCCCUCGAGAGUGGCGAACGGGUGAGUAAUAUAUCGGAACGUGCCCAGUCGUGGGGGAUAACGUAGCGAAAGUUACGCUAAUACCGCAUACGAUCUACGGAUGAAAGCGGGGGAUCGCAAGACCUCGCGCGAUUGGAGCGGCCGAUAUCAGAUUAGGUAGUUGGUGGGGUAAAGGCUCACCAAGCCAACGAUCUGUAGCUGGUCUGAGAGGACGACCAGCCACACUGGAACUGAGACACGGUCCAGACUCCUACGGGAGGCAGCAGUGGGGAAUUUUGGACAAUGGACGCAAGUCUGAUCCUGCCAUUCCGCGUGCAGGAUGAAGGCCCUCGGGUUGUAAACUGCUUUUGUACGGAACGAAAAGGUUUCUAUUAAUACUAGGAGCUCAUGACGGUACCGUAAGAAUAAGCACCGGCUAACUACGUGCCAGCAGCCGCGGUAAUACGUAGGGUGCAAGCGUUAAUCGGAAUUACUGGGCGUAAAGCGUGCGCAGGCGGUUAUGUAAGACAGAGGUGAAAUCCCCGGGCUCAACCUGGGAACUGCCUUUGUGACUGCAUAGCUAGAGUACGGUAGAGGGGGAUGGAAUUCCGCGUGUAGCAGUGAAAUGCGUAGAUAUGCGGAGGAACACCGAUGGCGAAGGCAAUCCCCUGGACCUGUACUGACGCUCAUGCACGAAAGCGUGGGGAGCAAACAGGAUUAGAUACCCUGGUAGUCCACGCCCUAAACGAU
rnacentral:rRNA from 1 species